rnacentral:rRNA from 1 species
AACGCGAAGAACCUUACCAAGGCUUGACAUACGCCGGAAACUGGUAGAGAUAUCAGCCCCCUUGUGGUCGGUGUACAGGUGGUGCAUGGUUGUCGUCAGCUCGUGUCGUGAGAUGUUGGGUUAAGUCCCGCAACGAGCGCAACCCUUGUUCUGUGUUGCCAGCGAGUAAUGUCGGGGACUCACAGGAGACUGCCGGGGUCAACUCGGAGGAAGGUGGGGACGACGUCAAAUCAUCAUGCCCCUUAUGUCUUGGGCUGCACACGUGCUACAAUGGCCGGUACAAAGGGCUGCGAUGCCGCGAGGCGGAGCGAAUCCCAAAAAGCCGGUCUCAGUUCGGAUUGGGGUCUGCAACUCGACCCCAUGAAGUUGGAGUUGCUAGUAAUCGCAGAUCAGCAUGCUGCGGUGAAUACGUUCCCGGGC